CUAGUUCUUUUUCUCUCUUCCCUUACCCCCUCUCUCCACAUGGCCAUGGCCAGUCUCUCUCUCCCUCUUUUACCUUCUCUCUUUCCCCGUCUUUCUACAACAAAGCUCUAAAACCACAGACUGUCUCUGAUCAUAAAGGCCCGGACUAAGGACUCUCACCUGCGUGGGAACCACCCAGCGCCCCUCUUUCCCAGUGCCCUCUCUUCCCAUAUCUCCCAUGCCACACCAGGGGCCCUAUUCUGUUCUCAGCUCCUCCGUAUCCAGCCUGGGAUGCUGGAGACUGAGAACCUGGUACCGGGGCCUGCCCCUUGUCCACCACCUGCUGUGUGGGGUCAGUGGCUUCACACAGCCAGAUACCUACCUGGGACUGCGUGGAAAGCGUCCAGCAGUCCUCCCGUGUCUGCCGGCUCAGAGCACUGGAACUCUGGCAGGACUCAGGCUCUCUCCCUCCCUCCUCUUUCCCACCCACCCACGGUCCGGCAGAGAAACACACCAAGAAACUUCUGGUGGUGUGCCGAGCUUCUUGUCGUUUCCAAGGACUCAAGCUGAUUGGAUGCACGUGCUGAGACAAGAGCCAUCCAGAGGCAAGGUCGUGUCACUGCUGUUGCUAUCCUGACUGGACUGAACUGGACUGCUGGUGUAUCUGUGAGGUGUUUGCGAAUGGAUUGAGCUGCCACUGCCUGCUGACCUGUGAACUCAACUGCUGAUUUCCAGACAACACAGACAGGAGUUGUUGCAAAGAGCCUUUAUAGACAGGCCCGCGCCCCCUUCCCCGCUCCUGUAUCAUUUCUUUUCCAUUACCUCUGGUGGGUGGUGGGUUACAAGAGAGGUUAAAGCAUUUAGGAACCAUCAUUAAAAACAGGGUUUGACAUGGUGGCGCAUGCCUUUAAUCCCAGCACUCAGGAGGCAGAGGCAGGCGGAUUUCUGAGUUCUGAGUUUGAGGCCAGCCUGGUCUACAAAGUGAGCUCCAGGACAGCCAGAGCUAUAAAGAGAAACCCUGUCUUGAAAAAAAAAAAAACAAAAAACAGGGUUUGAAAAAAUUAAAGUUACAAAGGUCAGGCACAGGAGACCACAUAAUGUAUGACUCCAAAAAAAUGUAACAGGCAACUCUCAGAUGAAAAACAACUGAUUGCCAGCUGCCUUUGAUAUGAUUUCCUUUAGGGGUGAUGAAAAUGUUUUAGGGAGCUGGAGAGAUGGCUCAGCGGUUAAGAGCACUGACUGCUCUUCCAGAGGUCCUGAGUUCAAAUUCCAGCAACCACAUGGUGGCUCACAACCAUGAGACCUGACACCCUCUUCUGGUGCAUCUGAAAACAGC
rnacentral:lncRNA from 1 species